rnacentral:rRNA from 1 species
GGUGAACGCUGACAGAAUGCUUAACACAUGCAAGUCGAUGGGGAAGUGGUGCUUGCACCAUGGCAACCAUGGCGGACGGGUGAGUAACGCGUAAGGGACUUACCUGCAGGACUGGGAUAACAGGGGGAAACUCCUGACAAGACCGGAUAAUGUCAUGGAGCUGCAUGGCUUUAUGAUGAAAGGAGACGCCUGCGGAGAGCCUUGCGUCCUAUUAGCUAGUUGGUGAGGUAAUGGCUCACCAAGGCGAAGAUAGGUAGCCGGCCUGAGAGGGUGGACGGCCACAAGGGGACUGAGAUACGGCCCUUACUCCUACGGGAGGCGGCAGUGGGGAAUAUUGGACAAUGGGGGCAACCCUGAUCCAGCAAUUCUGUGUGCACGAAGAAGGUUUUCGGAUUGUAAAGUGCUUUCAGCAGGGAAGAAGUAAGUGACGGUACCUGCAGAAGAAGCGACGGCUAAAUACGUG